AGUAGGAGUGAAUUAUGUGGUGGUCCUCAGGCCGUAGGUUGUCUUAACAAUCAUAGUUUUGUGAUUAUCUCCACAACUCUUUGGUUGCGUAGGUAUUUUAAAUAGGGGGAUAAAUAAACGUCCAAGGAUAAUAGUCACGUUGCAUCAUACACGCGUGUCAAAGAGUUUAUCUACUAAGUUCUAGGACAGUUUUGGUAACAAAGCGUCACGUAAACAAGACGUCCACACCCUAUAACCCGGUGCGCGCCAGGCAAAUCUAAAGCCGUGCGCGUUCACGUGGCGGCGGCGGCGGCGCGCGCGCACGGCCCCCUCAUAGCAACAGCGGCGAGCAGCGAAUCGCGAGCUCAAACACUUGUCUCCAGGACCGGCUUACAGCACCGGCAACGCGUCACGGCUCGGGUGGCUGUUGCUGAGUAGUUCGGCACACUUGGACCGCCACAACCCCACCACGCCCACCCCCAAUCCGAAGCUCCCUCCACCUCCACCCAGCUGUCUGUUGACUUUGUCAGGAUGGGCUCUUUUAUUAGCGAGACCUUGUUUACAACUCGGGUUGCAUCAUUUUCAUUUGUUUAACAGUCACACAUGAUGUUUACUUCAUUCAUUAUUCUACCACGUGGCAUUCAAGUCAAAGGGACACUUGAUUAAGUACGAUCUGAUAAGAAAACAAUCUGUUUUAAGGAGUCAUUUGAUCUCACAAGCGUUGUCAGUGAAUCUUAGGAAGACAUUUUUGCAAUAUUUUGUUGACCCGCUUACAAAACCUCUAAAGUUUAACUAAAAUAAUUGGUCCAAGUCAUUUUAAAACCUUGUUUUAAGGAAUACUGCUUCAUUCCAAAAUACCACUUUGUGAGAAAACUAACAAAGUUAAACACAGUUGUGCCAAAACUCAGUUUUAAGGUCAAACGCUUGACAAAACCUUAUGUGUAAAGUUGUAACAUUCUAACAUGCCAUAAGUCCAAAAACCUUCAGGUGAUUACAGUAUAACAGAAAACCAUCUUGUGGAAAAUCAGAAGUUGAAUGAUCCGUUCCAGGAUUAAACGGUUAUAAAACAUUGUUCCAAGUAUUGUUGUGAUAGUCCAUGCAAUAAAAGUAUAAUUCUUUCGUUUGUUUGUUUGUUUGUUUGUUUGUUUGUUUUAUUUUAAGUUGACACAUUUUCAAAAUAAGUGUAGUAUUAUAUCAUUAGAAUAAAAAUAAAAUGAAAGACACUGCCAUGGACCCUCCGAAGUUGAGCGGUGUUUGAUGGGUACUGUUCUGAUCAGUUCGAGGUUUUCCUGCAUUGCAGCAGGUUUCCUGUUUCCAUCCGAGCACCACCACUGCCUCGGUCAAGACUUGCGCCACACCCAGCCAGCUCACUCCACUAUACACACACACACGCGCAUACAUAAACACACGCACACAAGGCAGCUGUCGGAAAGCAUCCCGGCUCAAACGCGAGACUGAGAGAUACAGCUGCUAAUGUGAUGAUAGAAUAAAGCUUAAAAUCUAACAUGGUCUCACAAAGUAAGAGCUGUUCUUUUCAUUUGUAUUUAUCUUGCAUGUUGGAAAGCAAGAACAUGAAAAAAUAGCAGUUUUAAAAAGAAUGAGACCGUACCAAUUUGCUUUCAAAGCAUUUUUAAAAAGUAAGUAUGGUGACCAUGAUGUACAAUUUAAUUAUUUUGGGGUUCCACAAGGUUAAAUUUUAUGGCCCCUGUUAAGAAGGCACGGCAUUUUUGAAUGUAUGUCUUUCAAAAACAUUUGAAUGUGGAUUUAUGAUAUAAUGCCAUUGUUAAUUAAUUAGAGCCUGGUAAGUGCAAAGCUUUCAUUUAGUCUUUUUUUUGGGAUUAAAGUAUAAAAUGCUUAAUUUUGCUUGCUUUUCGACAACAUGCAUUGCAUGCAUUUGAUUAGAAAAUUGUGUAAAGGUAGCAUUAAUAUUGGUUUUAAGGAGACAGUCUGAACAAUGUCGCAUUGUGAAGUGACCGAUUACUGACGCCCACUCCUCAACGAGCUUCAUUCAACGUCAUUAUCAUCAGUCUUCCUUCUCCUCAUAAACUUGACAGUAACAGUGCGGUGUUGUGAUUUAAUUGAGUGCAGAUGGUCGCUGAUGUGCACUGAGGACACGCCCUUCUUUCGCUACACCGGCUGUGGAAUAUCCCUGCUAUGCUGCCACCUACUGGUUCCCGGCAAGUAUAACAGUUGAAAGAAACGCAAACAAUACAUAAAGAGCCGAGUUCAUGUUUUAUCGAUCAUAUUCUGUGACAAUACAGUUGAAGUUUAGACAAUGGUAAAGCAGAUUAACGGUGUGUGCCUCCCAGUCGUAAUAUAAAUACAAGUGAGUGACUGAACGCAAGCAAACAA